GGGAUAACAGGCUGAUCUCCCCCGAGAGCUCACAUCGACGGGGAGGUUUGGCACCUCGAUGUCGGCUCGUCACAUCCUGGAGCUGGAGAAGGUUCCAAGGGUUGGGCUGUUCGCCCAUUAAAGUGGCACGCGAGCUGGGUUCAGAACGUCGUGAGACAGUUCGGUCCCUAUCUGUUGUGGGCGUAAGAUAUUUGAGAGGACCUGACCUUAGUACGAGAGGACCGGGUUGGACGAACCUCUGGUGUAUCAGUUGUGUUGUCAGAUGCAUCGCUGAGUAGCUACGUUCGGAAGAGAUAAGCGCUGAAAGCAUCUAAGCGCGAAACUCGCCUCGAGAUGAGAUAUCUAUAUAAGGGUCGUUGGAGAUGACGACGUAGAUAGGUUGCAAGUGUAAGAGUUGAAAGACGCUGAGCUGAGCAAUACUAAUUACCCGAAAACUUCCUGGAA
rnacentral:ncRNA from 1 species